GCUGGAUGAGGGGACUGAGGCUUCAGUGUGUUAGUAGAACAGGUUAGUGAACUCAGCACCAGGACCAGCUGGAUGAGGGGACUGAGGCUUCAGUGUGUUAGUAGAACAGGUUAGUGAACUCAGCACCAGGACCAGCUGGAUGAGGGGACUGAGGCUUCAGUGUGUUAGUAGAACAGGUUAGUGAACUCAGCCCCAGGACCAGCUGGAUGAGGGGACUGAGGCUUCAGUGUGUUAGUAGAACAGGUUAGUGAACUCAGCCCCAGGACCAGCUGGAUGAGGGGACUGAGGCUUCAGUGUGUUAGUAGAACAGGUUAGUGAACUCAGCCCCAGGACCAGCUGGAUGAGGGGACUGAGGCUUCAGUGUGUUAGUAGAACAGGUUAGUGAACUCAGCCCCAGGACCAGCUGGAUGAGGAGACUGAGGCUUCAGUGUGUUAGUAGAACAGGUUAGUGAACUCAGCCCCAGGACCAGCUGGAUGAGGAG